rnacentral:rRNA from 1 species
GAUGAACGCUGGCGGCGUGCCUAAUACAUGCAAGUCGAGCGAACAGACGAGGAGCUUGCUCCUCUGACGUUAGCGGCGGACGGGUGAGUAACACGUGGAUAACCUACCUAUAAGACUGGGAUAACUUCGGGAAACCGGAGCUAAUACCGGAUAAUAUAUUGAACCGCAUGGUUCAAUAGUGAAAGACGGUUUUGCUGUCACUUAUAGAUGGAUCCGCGCCGCAUUAGCUAGUUGGUAAGGUAACGGCUUACCAAGGCGACGAUGCGUAGCCGACCUGAGAGGGUGAUCGGCCACACUGGAACUGAGACACGGUCCAGACUCCUACGGGAGGCAGCAGUAGGGAAUCUUCCGCAAUGGGCGAAAGCCUGACGGAGCAACGCCGCGUGAGUGAUGAAGGUCUUCGGAUCGUAAAACUCUGUUAUUAGGGAAGAACAAAUGUGUAAGUAACUAUGCACGUCUUGACGGUCCCUAAUCAGAAAGCCACGGCUAACUACGUG